rnacentral:rRNA from 1 species
UUAUUAUUUCCUUAUUUUUUGUUAUUUAUCUCAUUUUCUUAGAAUUAUCUUUUUUUUUAGUAUACUUAUUGAAUUAAUAGUUUUAUUCAUAGUUUAUUGUACCGUAGGGGAAUGGUAUUUUUUAUUUAUUAAGUAGUCUUGUUGAUGUACCUUUUGUAUCAGGGUUUAUUUAGUUUUAUUAUUUAUAUUGUUAUCCCGAAAUUAGAGGAGAUACCUUGAAUUGACAGUUUGUGUGUUAAAAUUAUUGUUAAAUGUUAAGGUAGUAGUGAUAUGCUAUUCGGUUCUAAAUAUCUGGUUUUCUCGGAUUUGUUUUUAAUGCAGAAGGUAAUGUUAUUUAUAGAUAACUAUAUUUCUUUUAUCUUUAAUAUUAUGAGGGAUAAGCUUUGUAGUGUUAGUAUAAUGUUUUAAUUGGUAUUGAAGUUUUGUAGGUUUGGUAACGGCCAUUAUUUCGUUAUAGUGUAUCUUCAAUUUUUUGUUAUUUAGUUGUAUUUACUUUUUUACGGGAGGGUAACUUUUAUUAUUUUAUUUUUAUUCAUAUUGGUAGAAUUAGUAGUUUUUAUAUUGGUUUAUAGUAACUCGGCAAUUUUUGUCUUCGCCUGUUUAACAAAAACAUGGUUUAUUGGUUUUUUUUUAAAUCUCGCCUGCUCAAUGAUUAUUUUAAAUAGCUGCAGUAUUUUGACUGUACAAAGGUAGCAUAAUAAUUUGUCUUUUAAUUGAAGGCUUGAAUGAAUGGUAGGACGAGGGGCAAGCUUUCUUUAAACUAUUUUAUUGAAUUUAAUUUUUUAGUUAAAAAGCUGAGAUUUUAUUGUAGGACGAGAAGACCCUGUAGAAUUUUACCUCUAUUUGUUUUUAUUAUUUUAUUUUAAAUGUUAUUUUAAUGAAGGUUAGGUUUUGUUGGGGAGACAGAGUUUUUUUAUUAACGAACUUUUGUUUAUUUUCAUUGAUUAUUGUUGUUAAUGAUCCUUUAUUAUGGAUUGUAAGAUUAAAUUACCUCAGGGAUAACAGCGUAAUCCUUCUGGAGAGUUCUUAUUGAUGGGAGGGGUUGCGACCUCGAUGUUGGAUUAAAAUUAGUUUUAGGUGUAGUCGCUUAUUUACUAGGUCUGUUCGACCUUUAAAUUUUUACAUGAUCUGAGUUCAGACCGGCGUAAGCCAGGUUGGUUUCUAUCCACAAAUGCAUUAAUAAUAUCUUAGUACGAAAGGACCAGAUAUUAGAGAUAUUCUUUUAUUUACUGAUUGUUAAUA